GAGUAGCUGGGACUGCAGGCGCCCGCCACCAUGCCUGGCUAAUUUUUUGUAUGUUUAGUAGAGACGGGGUUUCACCGUGUUAGCCAGGAUGGUCUCUAUCUCCUGACCUUGUGAUCUGCCUGCCUCGGCCUCCCGAAGUGCCGGGAUUACAAGCGUGAGCCACCAUUCCCGGCCCAAAGAGGAGAAGAAGUAUGAAGUGCUUGCUUGGACCUUUCUACUGUGCUUAUUAUUCUGUCUUCUCCUCAUGGCAAAAGCUGACAAACGGUUUAUAUCAGAAGGUGGAAUCGUGGGUAUGGUCGAUGUGGCAGGUCCUAAACAUAAAUUGGAAACAUAGCAUCUCAGAUCCAGAAGAGGACCUUGGCCUACCAUAUGCCUAAUGCUUGAAUUUCCUUACCUGUCCAAGAAGUCCCUUAUGAUGUACUCUUGUAAUACCAUCUUUCAUCCUUAGACAACUUAACUGAUAUGAAGUUCAAACUUAUAUUGCCUGCUUGACUGUGGUUUCAACACCUUAUACCUAAUAUCACUCCUAGGACCAUAAGGGGUAAAUCUUUCACAUGACUGCUCCUACAGUUGUUUGAAGCCAUCAAUGAUAUUCACUCAUAGAGGGCUUUGAGGCUUACCAACCUUUGCUACAACAAUAUUCCUCAGGAGACAGUCUUGAGUACAGUGCCUGCAAUACAUUUUGUUAUCAUUGCAUAAUUAAUUGAUAAUUGUAUUCAAAUUCUUUCUUCAAUAUCAUAGGCUCUCUCCCUUAGGCAUCUCAAAUUUAUCUUCACAGCUUUUCAACUGCAAAUUUAAGAACAAAAUGUAAAACCUCUGAUACCUCUAAGCAGCAUAAUAAAAUGAAGGUUUUAAGGCCUUCUUUUGCUCCAUAAUAUACGUAUGUCAGUGUGGCAUAGGUUAUUAGCUACCAUUUAUUGUGCAAUUAUAAUGUACUUGGAACUAAGCUAAGUACAUAUUAUCUCAUUUAAUUUUCACUAUUUUGUAAAAUUGAAGAUAUGUAUUUGUUUUAUAUUUUAAGAAACUGAAGCCAGAGAAGCAAAACAAUUGCUCAAAGUCAUUCAGUUAGUUAAUGAGGCAACAAGAUUUGAAACCAAGUUUGUCUAAUCUCAAAGCUCAUACUUUUAACCAUUAUUUUAUUACUGCCUUUGUAGAUGCUUGGCAACCUCAUUAAAGCAUUAACAUAUGUUGAA
rnacentral:lncRNA from 1 species